rnacentral:rRNA from 1 species
AUGACCCAAAAUAACAAUUCAGAUGAGCCGAGAAGGCUGAACGGUGGCAAGAUUAUGCGUUACUGCUUUGUCUUAACUGAUAUAAGAUCCAGUAGAGCUUGCCUCGUCGUGGAUCAAUUAUGCUUCCUCCAUGACCGAUUAUCCUACUGCUUGGCUGGACCCCAAAGAACAAAUUAUGUGAUUGGUUGGUUGCCACUUGGAGAGAAGACAAAGGUGGCACUCUGGACCCCUAAUGCUAAUGCUAACUUUGUAAGCCAAACAGUCCGUGUAAACCAUUGGCUAACAGUGGUGCGCCAUUUGUCUUCUUCACGGAGCACGAAAAGACAUUCUGAUGUGACACAAUGA